GGCGGUGCGCAGGGGAGAGGAGCGGAGCGGAGCGGGCCGCCCCCCCCGGGCCGCCUGGCCGCGGCGCCGCCUGCUGCUCCCCCUAGCGCCCGCGCCGCCGCCCCGCCCCGCCCCGCCCCCGGUGACGUGAAGCCCCGCCCCCCGCUCGCCGCUGCCGCCGCGACUUGAGGGCGCGCGCCGAGCACCGCGGCUGCCCCGCGCCAGCGCAGCGCCCAGCGCAUCGCUCCGCUCCGCGCCCGGCCCCGGCCGCCGGCGCCUCCCCGCGCCCGGCCCCCGCCACCGGUGGAAUUACCGCGGCGGCCGCGCUCCAGCCGGGAUCGCCCCUUUUCCGCGCCCCGCAGGAAUUUAAGAGUUCAAGGGAAGCUUUAAAAGGGGACUUUUCUGGGAAGCAGAUCAUAUUUUUGUGGGUUUUUUUUUAAUGAAGAAAAUCAUCUGAAUUGCCUGACAUUUCUACGGUAGAGUAAAUUGCGUUCUUGCAGCGCAAGAGGAAUUCUUUCCUGCAUUACAAAUUUGGAAGAAGCAUUAAAAAGUGAGAGUCGGAAAAUGGUUCUGUCAAGGAGGUGUGGAUGUAUCAGGAUGUAGCUACUGUACAAAGAUUGCACGUGGAUAAUUCUGGACAGGAAAAAGCAGCCCCAUUCCUGUCCUCCUGAAGAGGCUACCAUCCUUCAAGCCUCAGCAUAAUGAAUAGUUUCCAUCACGCAGCGCUGCAGUUACCACCUCUGACUACUACGCUGCACAGAGGAGUUUGUAAGAGUUACAAAGAAAGUAAUUCCUGCUAAAGGCAUUAAACCAAACAAAAGAGGCUCUUCAUUCACUGACUUUACAUGAGGACAAAACCAGAGGCAAGCUGAAGCUUUUCUAUGCCCCAGCCUGGUGUGCUUAUGUACCAUGAUAAAUCUUGGUUGGAAUGCUCAUUGAGUAUCGUGCCAGGAGCCAGGAAACCCACACCACCGAGAAGGACCGUCUGAGUAAACACCGUUGAGGAAAAAAAAAAAAAAAACCACAGCUCCAUGGAGUAAACUGUAAGAGUGACUCACAAGGCAUUCCUAACUGGAUAUCCUCAAGCACAAAAUUUACUCAUACCUUUAAAUACGGUAGGAUCAAUAUUAAUUUAUUUUCCUUUUUGUGCCUCAGAGAAUAAAGUUCAAUUAAUAAAUGAACCCACAAGAGAAAAGGUCAUGACACCGCUUAAUGCAUAGGUCAUCUUGCAGAAGUUCUCACAACCCUAAUUACAAUGGUAAUUGAAUUAUGUUGUCUUAAAAGCUAUAAAAAUGCUAAUUGCUUGAGCUCAAUAUACAAACACACUACCAAUGCUAAGUACAAUUCCAGUCUCAAGAGUUAAUUUAUAUUAUCCUACCCUGCACAGUUUGAACUAAUAAGAUGGGAAAAUGUGGUUAAACCUGCCAAUAGUCUCUUAUUAGUGUACUGCUUAGUAAGACGACUUUUGAGAAUGACAAAUAUUUAAACAUGAAAUUAAGCAUGUAAUGAAAUAUUCCAUCCAGUCAACUAGAAAGCCAUCGCUCUACCGGACACAUCAGGUUUUAGCUACCUACCAAUUACAACUUUUACCUUUCUAAAUAUUCCAGCUCAAAACCCAAGAAAAGUAGACUGCAGAAGUGGUAGGAUACACAAUAUGAUGUUGAGCGCACUGAAAACCUUGGAAAAAAAGUCCUUAACUGGCCCUUGCUCUUUUGACUGUAUUUUAUGCUUUGCCAUUAGGACUUUUUUGAACCCGCAAAAUAGCUACCGCUAAACUUGUGGGUUUGGUAAGGGUUUAUAGUUCACUUAAGGGCUCCUGAGGCAGUUAGCUGGCUUAGGAAUCACUUCUUAUCUUUCAGAUACAGAAUGAUUUACUUGAACUGUGGUCUAACUCCACCUCUGUAUUUAUGUGGUAUCUGCAGACAGAGAUUGUCUCUGCAUGUGAAAUGUAAAGCAAUCCUUAGAAAGACCCUUCUUGCUUAAACAAAACAAUUCACAGAUUAGACAUACUUGAUUGUACAUUUUCAAUUACUAUGCACAGUAACCUAUUAAUGAAUCAGUACAUGAAGCGGUACAAUUACUGAUGUAAGGAAAAGAAAGUAAACCGUGUCUAUGGGCUUGAAUUUUGGUAUAAUACAUGUGUUUCAGAUGUCUUCUGUAAUGUUGAAGUUGAAUUUUCAUUGCAGUUUCUUCACUGAUGAUCUGGAUAAUUUUGUUUGUUUGGUUUUUUUAGAUUGUUGAAGAUCAGAACUGUAUAC
ensembl:lncRNA